AAAUCAUGUACCCAGAACACACGAACACUGAUGGAUUCUUUGAAACUGAGAGUAUUCACUUUAGUAAUCUACCAUCUUUCCUAACAUAGACUUGGUGCUCAAUGGGAUUCUAUGAGCUGCAUAUGAAACACUGAAAAUGGAUGUUGGUGCUUUGCUGAUUUCAUGGUGCCACCUAAUGGACCAAAAUGGCUGCCACAGCUCCAGCUAUUACAUCUGCAAUCCAGCCAGCAAGGAGGAGGACAUUCCCUUUAAGGACACUUCCUGGACAGUAUACCCACCAUUUCUACUCAUAUCCCAUUGGCCAAAACUGAGUCACGUGGCCACGCCCAGAUGCAAGAGAGACUUGGGCGCCAGUCAUAUGCCUGUUGACAAACCAGAGGCACUGAGGAAGCCCAGCUGGUUUCAGUGUAGCUGUCCUGGACUGUUCCAGUGAAGUGAAGUCGCUCAGUCGUGUCUGACUGUUUGCUUCCCCAUGGACUGUAGCCUGCCAGGCUCCUCUCUCCAUGGGAUUUCUCAGGCAAGAAUACUGGAGUGGGUUGCCACUUCCUUCUCCAGAGGAUCUUCCCGACCCAGGGAUCGAAACCGGGUCUCCGGCAUUGUAGGCAGACGCUUUACUGUCUGAGACACCAGGGAAGUCGGACUCAUCCAUUAUCCCUUUAUCGCCCCAUCUCAAACAUGGGCUGCAUUCCCUUCCUGUUU